GGCUCUGGGAAGCAGACAAUAUUGGCCCUGGUCAGCAGCAGCUAAGCCCAAAGGAAACUACAGAGUUGAAGCGCAGACAACGUGGCGCCCCAUGGCAGAGGCGGCCCCAAAGGAGAAAGGGCUGGAGAGCAGCGCUGCUCCCCAGGAUGACUUGCAGGGCCUCCAGGACAGCGUCUUCUCCUCCGAAAGCGACAAUAGCCUGUACUUCACCUACAGCGGCCAGUCCAACACCUUGGAAGUCCGAGAUCUCAGCUACCAGGUGGAUAUGGCCUCCCAGGUACCUUGGUUUAAGCAGCUGGCUCACUUCAAGAUGCCCUGGACAUCUCACAAGGACUCCUGUGAGCAGGGCAUUCAGAACCUGAGCUUCAAAAUGAGGAGUGGACAGAUGCUGGCUGUCAUAGGGAGCUCAGGUUGUGGGAGAGCCUCUUUGCUGGACGUGAUCACCGGGCGAGGCCCUGGCGGCAAGAUUAAGUCAGGCCAAAUCUGGAUCAAUGGGCAGCCCAGCACAGCCCAGCUAGUGAGGAAGUGUGUGGCCCACGUGCGCCAGCACGACCAGCUGCUCCCCAACCUGACCGUCCGGGAGACCCUGGCUUUCAUUGCCCAGCUGCGCCUGCCCAGAAACUUCUCCCAGGCCCAGCGCGACAAAAGGGUGGACGACGUGAUCGCGGAGCUGCGGCUGCGGCAAUGCGCCAACACGCGCGUGGGCAACAUCUAUGUGCGGGGCGUGUCGGGGGGCGAGCGGCGCAGAGUCAGCAUCGGAGUGCAGCUGCUGUGGAACCCAGGAAUCCUUAUCCUGGAUGAACCCACCUCUGGGCUCGACAGCUUCACGGCCCACAACCUGGUGAAAACACUGUCCAGGCUGGCCAAAGGCAACAGGCUGGUGCUCAUCUCCAUCCACCAGCCGCGCUCUGAUAUCUUCGGGCUGUUUGAUUUGGUGCUCCUGAUGACGUCUGGCACCACCAUCUACCUGGGGGCAGCCCAGCACAUGGUUCAGUAUUUCACCGCAGUCGGCCACCCCUGUCCGCGGUACAGCAACCCUGCCGACUACUAUGUGGACUUGACCAGCAUUGACAGACGAAGCAAAGAGCAGGAAGUGGCCACCAGGGAGAAGGCUCGGGCCCUUGCGGCCUUGUUUAAAGAAAAAGCGCGUGGCUUUGAUGACUUUCUAUGGACAGCAGAGUCAAAGGAGCCGAGUGUGGGCACGUGUGUGCAGAGCCCGGCUCCUGACACCAACCCGUUCCAGGCUCCCACUAAGCUGCCCGGCCCCCUACAGCAGUUUGCCAUACUGAUCCGUCGUCAGAUUUCCAACGACUUCCGAGACCUGCCAACCCUCCUCAUCCACGUAGUGGAGGCCUGCCUGAUGUCCCUGAUCAUCGGGUUCCUCUACUACGGCCACGGGGCUGUCCAGCUCUCCUUGACGGACACGGUGGCCCUCUUGUUCAUGAUCGGAGCUCUUGUUCCUUUCAGCGUGAUCCUGGAUGUCAUCUCCAAAUGUCACUCAGAGAGGGCACUGCUUUACUAUGAACUAGAAGAUGGGCUGUACACGGCGGGGCCAUACUUCUUUGCCAAGGUGACUGGUCAGGCUUCAGAAUCCUGGGGGAGCUUCCCGAACACUGCAUCUACAUCGUCGUCUAUGGGAUGCCCAUCUACUGGCUGGCCAACCUGCGCCCAGGCCUGGAGCCCUUCCUGCUGCAUGUCCUGCUGGUGUGGCUUGUGGUCUUCUGCUGCCGGACCAUGGCCCUGGCCGCCGCCGCCCUGCUGCCCACCUUCCACAUGUCCUCCUUCUUCGGCAACGCUCUCUACAACUCCUUCUACCUGACUGGGGGCUUCAUGAUAAGCUUGGACAAUCUGUGGACAGUGCCCGCGUUGAUUUCCAAGGUGUCCUUCCUCCGAUGGUGUUUUGAAGGGCUGAUGAAUAUCCAGUUUGGUGGGCAUGCUUAUUACAUGGAAGCUGGCAACAUCACCAUCCGUAUCCCAGGAGACAUGAUCCUCAGUUCCAUGGGCCUGAACUCUUAUCCGCUCUACGCCAUCUACUUCUUUGUCAUUGGCAUCAGUGGUGGCUUCGUGAUCCUGUACUAUCUGUCCUUAAGGUUCAUCAAACAGAAAUCAAGUCAGGACUGGUGAUUCACGCCCAGACUCCUGCCUGCUGGUGGGGGACUCGAGAAGGCCCUUCAGCUGCACUCCCUUCCUCCCAAGGAGCCCCUUUCCAGGCACGGGGAGGCCCAGGACUAAGCUACAUCCAGUCCACACCGCUGCAAAGGCACAGGCUGGCCACAGGAUGGCAGUAGAAUAAAGACAGUCAGAAGGGAUCUCUGAUCACCAGCUGGAGCUUGAGUUUAUUGGGAACCUGACAACCAUACCUGGGGGACACCUACAAUGUCAUUAAUUUAUUUCCUUUUGAUACAUAUAUUUGUAUAUGCAACUAAUACAAGAUGGGAGCAAAUUAGGUAUGAAUCGAGGAGUUAGGCCAUGUGGAUACAGUAACAUAAUAGCUAGUGGAGUGUUUGGCCUCAUCUUCCAGGGUCCCCAAACUCUGAGCCAUUCUCAAUACAGAAAAUGACCUAAAACAUA